AGGUGACAGGAAGGGGAGGGACACGAAGGUUCUAACCUCGCGGUGGGUGGUAAACGAUAGAUAAGAUGUAUCCUUUUUUCAUUCUUUUUGACAAGAUCGAUCCUUGUCUGAAUCAUACAAAUCCUUAGGUGGCAUAAGCGCUUCCAUUUUGUGUCUUUUGGACACUGCACCACAGGGAAGAACAAGUUUUCUGAAUGUUGAAAAAUCCAUGUUUGAAAUCGAUUUAUGAUGGAGAUGAGGAAGGAAGAGAGAAUGAUAGGAAAAAGAUGGCAAAAUAACGAUAUAGACUUAAAAAAAUAUUACCACGAUAAUCGAGGUGACAUAAAAACGUCGUAAAUAUGUAUACGACAAAACAGAGAAUAAGAAAUGUGGUAAUCGUUUCACUUUUGAAACUUUAUCGAGUUUGUUGCAAGAAAUGUUUCUUGGAUAACAAUGAAGCCUAAACCGUGGCACCUUCGGCCCUUGUUUCCGUUCUCACGUUCAUUCGUUCUAAAUGGAAUCAACGAUCUUUUUAUUAGACACCUUCUCAUUGCUAGUUUGCCGUUUAUUUAGAAAAUUGUCUUGAGAAAGGAUACCACCACUUAAUACCUAGAGAAAUUUUUACAUAACAGUAAUUAUGAUAAUAGUAUUACUUUAAUAUUACUGAUACUUAUAUGUUCAAUUU